GAUGAACGCUGGCGGCGUGCCUAAUACAUGCAAGUCGAGCGAACAGGCGAGGAGCUUGCUCCUCUCACGUUAGCGGCGGACGGGUGAGUAACACGUGGAUCACCUACCUAUCAGUCUGGGAACACUUCGGGACACCGGAGCUAAUCCCGGAUAAUCUCUUGAUCCGCAUGGUUCGAUAGUGAAAGUCGGUUUUGCUGUCUCUUCUCGCUGGUUCCGCGCCGCUUUAGCUAGUUGGUAAGGUAACGGCUUAUCAAGGCAACCAUGCGUAGCCGACCUGAGAGAGUGGUCGGCCACACUGGAACGGAGACACGGUCCAGACUCCUACGGGAGGCAGCAGUAGGGAAUCUUCCGCAAUGGGCGAGAGCUUGACGGAGCAACGCCGCGUGAGAGAUGAAGGUCUUCGGAUCGUAAAACUCUGUUAUGAGUGAAGAACAAAUGUGUAAGUAGCUAUGCACGUCUUGACGGUACCUAAUCAGAAAGCCACGGCUAACUACGUG
rnacentral:rRNA from 1 species